AGCGACUGUGCAGGUUACCGCGGCUGCUGGCACGGAGUUAGCCGGUGCUUCUUCUGUGAGUGAUGUCCUUCCUGCCGGCUAUUAACCCGCAGGCCUUCUUCCUCACUGAAAGUGCUUUACAACCCGAAGGCCUUCUUCACACACGCGGCAUGGCUGGAUCAGGGUUGCCCCCAUUGUCCAAUAUUCCCCACUGCUGCCUCCCGUAGGAGUCUGGGCCGUGUCUCAGUCCCAGUGUGGCUGAUCAUCCUCUCAGACCAGCUACGGAUCGUCGCCUUGGUGAGCCGUUACCUCACCAACCAGCUAAUCCGACAUAGGCUCAUCCGAUAGCGCGAGGCCCGAAGGUCCCCCGNUUUCCCCCGUAGGGCGUAUGCGGUAUUAGCCUGGGUUUCCCCAGGUUAUCCCCCACUACCGGGCAGAUUCCUAUGCAUUACUCACCCGUCCGCCGCUCGCCACCAGGGAGCAAGCUCCCCGUGCUGCCGCUCGACUUGCAUGUGUUAGGCCUGCCGCCAGCGUUCAAU
rnacentral:rRNA from 1 species